rnacentral:rRNA from 1 species
GACGAACGCUGGCGGCGUGCUUAACACAUGCAAGUCGAACGGAAAGGCCCUGCUUUUGUGGGGUGCUCGAGUGGCGAACGGGUGAGUAACACGUGAGUAACCUGCCCUUGACUUUGGGAUAACUUCAGGAAACUGGGGCUAAUACCGGAUAGGAGCUCCUGCUGCAUGGUGGGGGUUGGAAAGUUUCGGCGGUUGGGGAUGGACUCGCGGCUUAUCAGCUUGUUGGUGGGGUAGUGGCUUACCAAGGCUUUGACGGGUAGCCGGCCUGAGAGGGUGACCGGCCACAUUGGGACUGGGAUACGGCCCAGACUCCUACGGGAGGCAGCAGUGGGGAAUAUUUCACAAUGGGCGGAAGCCUGAUGCAGCAACGCCGCGUGCGGGAUGACGGCCUUCGGGUUGUAAACCGCUUUCGCCUGUGACGAAGCGUGAGUGACGGUAAUGGGUAAAGAAGCACCGGCUAACUACGUG